GGAUUAGGCAUGCAAGUCGAACGAGAAAGCACCCUUCGGGGUGUGAGUAAAGUGGCGUAAGGGAGAGUAAUGCAUAGAUAAUCUACCCCUGACUCCGGGAUAACCAAUGGAAACGCUGGCUAAUACCGGCAAAGGACAUCCCUUUCUCGUAUGUGAGAGGGAUUAAAGGAGGGGACCCUUCGGGGCCUUUCGGUUGGGGAUGAGUUUAUGUCCUAUUAGCUUGUUGGUGGGGUAACGGCCCACCAAGGCGAUGAUGGGUAGCCGGCCUGAGAGGGUGUCCGGCCUCACUGGGACUGAGACACGGCCCAGACUCCUACGGGAGGCUGCAGUCGAGAAUCUUUCGCAAUGCCCGAAAGG
rnacentral:rRNA from 1 species